CAGAGAAUAGUUUAGAUAAAAUCUUGGCUUUGGGAGCCAGGGAUAGGAGUUAAAAUCUCCUUUUUCUGA
rnacentral:tRNA from 1 species